rnacentral:rRNA from 1 species
UACGUAGGCAGCGAGCGUUGUUCGGAAUUACUGGGCGUAAAGCGCACGUAGGCGGCUUUGCAAGUUAGAGGUGAAAGCCCGGGCUCAACUCCGGAAUUGCCUUUAAAACUGCAUCGCUAGAAUUGUGGAGAGGUAAGUGGAAUUCCGAGUGUAGAGGUGAAAUUCGUAGAUAUUCGGAAGAACACCAGUGGCGAAGGCGACUUACUGGACACAUAUUGACGCUGAGGUGCGAAAGCGUGGGGAGCAAACAGGG